rnacentral:rRNA from 1 species
UACGUAGGUGGCAAGCGUUGUCCGGAUUUACUGGCGUAAAGAGCGCGCAGGCGGUCGUUCAAGUCGCGUGUGAAAGCCCCCCGGCUCAACUGGGGAGGGUCACGCGAUACUGAUCGACUCGAAGGCAGGAGAGGAAGUGAAUUCCCGGUGUAGUGGUGAAAUGCGUAGAGUAUCAGGAGGAACACCGGUGGCGAAGGCGGGUCUCUGGGCAGUAACUGACGCUGAGGAGCGAAAGCGUGGGGAGCGAACAGG